rnacentral:lncRNA from 1 species
CUACGAGGUAUAUUCUAUAGUACCGCAUAACCAAAGACAGUGGGAAACGCUCCACCGACUUUUGGCUUUUGCAGCGUAUUUAGGGAAUGCUAUUUAAAUAAAAGUACCACGAGGCUUGUCUGGGAUGAGACCCCCCCGGUGGCUUCUCCGGUUAGGGCACUGGUGCCACCUCUGCCAGUUUCUGACAACUACUUAGCAACCUGGGGCGCUGACAGAUGUCUACUCAUAUCUGUAGUGAGACGACAUCUCCACUACAAGAAAGAAAAAUGGCAUUACGUCUUCAGCUGCUGCAGCACAUUGUUUCUGUGAAUAACACACACAUCGUCAAAGCUGUCAUUGAACAAAUCUCACACUUACUGUAUGUCUUCUGUGUGUCACUGAACCAGCAAUGCAGUCAACAAGAAGGCUUCCAGAAACUUCAAAACUGGACGUCCCUAAAAAGACAGCUCAUACAGUACUGGCACUCAAGGACAAAUCAGUAA